UCCUGGCUCAGGAUGAACGCUAGCGACAGGCUAACACAUGCAAGUCGAGGGCAGCAUAAAAGUAGCAAGUACUUGGUGGCGACCGGCGCACGGGUGAGUAACGCGUAUGCAACCUACCUAUCAGAGGGGAAUAACCCGGCGAAAGUCGGACUAAUACCGCAUAAAACAGGGGCACCGCAUGGUGAUAUUUGUUAAAGAAAUUCGCUGAUAGAUGGGCAUGCGUUCCAUUAGGUAGUUGGUGAGGUAACGGCUCACCAAGCCGACGAUGGAUAGGGGAACUGAGAGGUUGGUCCCCCACACUGGUACUGAGACACGGACCAGACUCCUACGGGAGGCAGCAGUGAGGAAUAUUGGUCAAUGGGCGGGAGCCUGAACCAGCCAAGUCGCGUGAAGGAAGAAGGAUCUAUGGUUCGUAAACCUCUUUUGCAGGGGAAUAAAGUGCAGGACGUGUCCUGUUUUGUAUGUACCCUGAGAAUAAGGAUCGGCUAACUCCGUGCCAGCCGCGGC
rnacentral:rRNA from 1 species